rnacentral:rRNA from 1 species
AUAAACAUGCAUACCACCCUGCAUCCCACUGCUGGCUUGCUUCUGAAGCUAAGCAGGGUUGGUCCUGGUUGGUUCCUGGAUGGGAGACCAGAUGCUGCUGGAAGUGGUGUUG